rnacentral:ncRNA from 1 species
UUGGGGUGCUUGGGCGUUUGCCCUCGCUGAGAUUAUACCCGUUGAACCUGAUACGGACAAUGCCGACGCAGGGACGAGAUUUUCUUU